ACGAACGCUGGCGGCGUGCUUAAUACAUGCCAGUCGAACGGAAAGGCCCUGCUUUUGUGGGGUGCUCGAGUGGCGAACGGGUGAGUAACACGUGAGUAACCUGCCCUUGACUUUGGGAUAACUUCAGGAAACUGGGGCUAAUACCGGAUAGGAGCUCCUGCUGCAUGGUGGGGGUUGGAAAGUUUCGGCGGUUGGGGAUGGACUCGCGGCUUAUCAGCUUGUUGGUGGGGUAGUGGCUUACCAAGGCUUUGACGGGUAGCCGGCCUGAGAGGGUGACCGGCCACAUUGGGACUGAGAUACGGCCCAGACUCCUACGGGAGGCAGCAGUGGGGAAUAUUGCACAAUGGGCGGAAGCCUGAUGCAGCAACGCCGCGUGCGGGAUGACGGCCUUCGGGUUGUAAACCGCUUUCGCCUGUGGCGAAGCGUGAGUGACGGUAAUGGGUAAAGAAGCACCGGCUAACUACGUG
rnacentral:rRNA from 1 species